AGGGUUUGAUCAUGGCUCAGGAUGAACGCUAGCGGCAGGCUUAACACAUGCAAGUCGAGGGGUAUCCGUUUUCGGACGGAGAGACCGGCGCACGGGUGCGUAACGCGUAUGCAACCUACCUUUUACAGGGGAAUAGCCCAGAGAAAUUUGGAUUAAUGCCCCAUGGUAUAUUUUUAGGGCAUCCUAAAGAUAUUAAAGUUCCAACGGUAAAAGAUGGGCAUGCGUCCUAUUAGCUAGAUGGUAAGGUAACGGCUUACCAUGGCUACGAUAGGUAGGGGUCCUGAGAGGGAGAUCCCCCACACUGGUACUGAGACACGGACCAGACUCCUACGGGAGGCAGCAGUGAGGAAUAUUGGACAAUGGGCGCAAGCCUGAUCCAGCCAUGCCGCGUGCAGGAAGACGCAUCUAUGGUGUGUAAACUGCUUUUGUACGGGAAGAAACACCUCUACGUGUAGAGGCUUGACGGUACCGUAAGAAUAAGGAUCGGCUAACUCCGUGCCAGCAGCCGCGGUAAUACGGAGGAUCCAAGCGUUAUCCGGAAUCCUUGGGUUUAAAGGGUCC
rnacentral:rRNA from 1 species